rnacentral:rRNA from 1 species
UACGGGGGGGGCAAGCGUUGUUCGGAAUUACUGGGCGUAAAGGGCUCGUAGGCGGCCAACUAAGUCGGACGUGAAAUCCCCAGGCUCAACCUGGGAACUGCGUCCGAUACUGGAUGGCUUGAAUUCGGGAGAGGGAUGCAGAAUUCCAGGUGUAGCGGUGAAAUGCGUAGAUAUCUGGAGGAAUACCGGUGGCGAAGGCGGCAUCCUGGCCCGACAUUGACGCUGAGGAGCGAAAGCUAGGGGAGCAAACGGG